AACGCACAUUGCGCCCCUUGGUAUUCCGAGGGGCAUGCCUGUUCGAGCGUCAUUAUGACCAAUCCCGUAAAGGGGUCUUGGGGCUCGCCACAUAGGCGUCCCUUAAAACUAAUUGCGGUGCUAUCGUACUCUAAGUGUAGUAAUUAUCCUCGCUAUAGAGUUCCGCUAAGUACCUGUUAAAACCCAUUAUUUAUUAGGUUGACCUCGGAUCAGGUAGGGAUACCCGCUGAACUUAA
rnacentral:misc_RNA from 1 species